rnacentral:lncRNA from 1 species
CGCCGGUCGCCCGCGUCCCGCGACCUCGUCGUUCCCGAGUGAGGGAGCCUGGGCGCGCGGGGGGAGGUGAUGCCUGAUGGCGAGUAACGGCGCCGCGCGAGCUGUGGGCGGAGGUGGCGAGUGGGCAAGCGCCGGGCCGCCCCAUGGAGAGGCGAUCGGAGGGCAACGCCGCGAACCGGCCGGCAAAACUAGGUCAGUCCUAAGCUCGCAUUAUGUUUCGCACUUAUGAUAUAUGUUGUUAUAAUUCGAGUCGCUGCGCGUAGAGAGACGAGGGUGCGGUAAAUAAAUUGGUGAUUGCUACAUGCUAGCUUGUGUUCAUUCUUCCACAUAUGAAGCUGAAAUUCGUAAUUAGGGCAAGAUGUAGCGCAAUUUUGAUCCUACAUAUUACGAUCAGACUACUCUCAUGAAAUGAUUCGUAGUUUCGCACAUGAGUUGCUUCUUAUUGUGUGUUGCUGGGUCUCAAAUCACAAGGAUGAAGAGCCGCAGAGGUAUCAGUAGUACUAGCCUACUAGAAUAGCUGGGAUAUUUGCUUGAUAGAAAAAAUCCCCCUUAGAAUCAGCUAUGCAUGCGAGUGUAUUCUGUUCCUAGGUGUUGUUCCUGGUUACCGUCUCUACAAGGCUCAGAAGGUUUGGUACAGUGGUUAGAUGAUAGCAUCUUUUUGGAUGUAGAACUGUUUAAACUGUAGACAUACUUCUGGAAUUUUAGAUUGUUUGCAUCUCUUCGUAUUCUUGAAAGUACUUACGUACGUAUUUCUUCAUUCCAACCCGCGUGAAGCUAGCCAGAUGCUACUUACAUCCUUAACAAUAGCUUAAAAUGUUUUAUACUCCCUUCUUUUUUUUAAUUUUACGCUGUUAAAUUUUGGAUCAUCAUUUGCCUUAUCCAAAAUCUGUGUACAAAUAUGCAAAAUAAAGUCAUGCUUAAAGUGUCUUUGGCAAUACAUGGAAUUACAACAAAACAAUUAAUAAUUAUGUAAAUUUUGUGAAUAAGACGAAUGGUCAAAUACAACCAAGAGUCAAAGACGUCAAAUAAAAAAAAGGUUGGAGUGAGUAUUAUUUAGCACAGGAACACAUAGUGUUUCAUUAUACUCUAAUUGAUAAUUAUUUCCUCCAUCCCAAAAUAUAAAGAGUUCUGAAGUUUUGCAUAUAUGUACUAAGGUGGUAGGUGGAGUUAAAUGGUGGAUGACUGUGAAUGGUUGAGAUGAGAAAGUGGAGGGGAGUAUAUUUUGGUACAAAUUUUGAAUGCUAGUAGUUUUAUUUUGGAAUGGAGGGAGCAGCUAGUUCAAGAUUUGAGAACUCAGCAAGCACUGAGCACAUGCCAUAUCUAACUUGCAUUUACAUCUUGGUUGGAAGGGACAUUUAAGCAUUCAUAGCAAAGAGACAUCCCAAAUUCAAAAUUCAGAAACCAGUUAGUCGACUGAGGAAGUGAGAUUCUGCCAAGCACACCUUUAUAAUUACCAGCACACGAGUACAGAAGUCUUACAUUAUUAUUUGCCACAUAGUUCAGCUCGAAUAUUUAACAGCUACACACAAUAACAAAUGCAGGCUAGUUUCUGCAAGAUCGACACUUGAUUUGCUUUACAACCUAGAAGUAUAUACAGACACGUACUUUCUUCUUUUAUUUCUAACCAAGCAACCACAAUCUUCUUAACAGAAUAACAAUAUAUCAAUAUGUAGUUUCCUUCAGUAACGUAGCCACUUCAAGGAAUCUAGUUUAUACUGGCGUUGUUUCGUGUCGUCAGGAACCUCAGAUGCUUCAUCCCUUGUAAAACAAAUUGGAAAGAUGUGCAAUGAGUUUAUCUUAGCAGUGAUCAAAUUUGAAAGAUCUAAUUCAGGGUAACGUGGAAUUGCAUUUGAAUAAGAGAAACUCAGGCGCUGUUUAUCUUAAUUUGCGAGGCAUGCUGUGUGUGUGGUAUACCGUAUAUUGGGUCGCAGAGGUUACUACCCAAAAUAUUUUUUAAAAGAAUGUCGUAUGCACAGUUUCCUUUUGAAGGGCUUCACUGGCUAAGCUCCCUUACAAGAGAAAACAACAUAACUUCGAAUAAAUUGCAUCUUCCUAUAGACACAUCACUCUUGUGCCUCCUAAAAAGACAGCAACCACCUUUUAAUUUUGGCAGAAAAACUGACAUGAAAAGGAGAUGUUUAAAGCACCUGUCGGUUGCUACUCUGGAACUGAAUUAAGCACAACUGCUCAAGGGGUUGGACUGCAAGAUUCAAACAUUUUUUUGGGUACCAGAGAUUAUUCUUCUGGUGCUAGAUCCCACGUGACUAAUUGGCACUAGGGGACAAGUUGGGGCCAGCUCCUUGUGCUUGUGUGCAAACCAACAAAUCACAAAAUAGCAUGCAGAUUAUGUGUGAAUGAUGGCUUGGCACGGACUCAAAUUAUGAGCUCUUGGUUUGUCCAGAUUUCUCUGAUAGUACAGACCAGUGCAGAUACUCUGAUCGAAGUUGCACUGCAUCUGGAAAGUAGAGCAGCAAAGGAAACGACAACUGACUACCCCUAGCUUAUAUAAGUUAUAAGUGGUGAACCAUGCAUCUAGGGCAUGACUUUCAUGGCUAACAUCUAACGAUCCCUGCAUGUGGGUUCUUGUGAGAUGUGGCAGUAGCUAUCAGCUUACAAGUUACAACCUGCUAGAGUGGAUUGCAGGCAGCUGCUGCUUGUACAUGUUGCUAAGCAGCAGAAUACCUGCUGCUUGUACAUGUUGCUAAGCAGCAGAAUACCUGCUGCUUGUACAUGUUGCUAAGCAGCAGAAUACCUGCUGCUUGUACAUGUUGCUAAGCAGCAGAAUACCUGCUGCUUGUACAUGUUGCUAAGCAGCAGAAUACCUGCUGCUUGUACAUGUUGCUAAGCAGCAGAAUACCUGCUGCUUGUACAUGUUGCUAAGCAGCAGAAUACCUGCUGCUUGUACAUGUUGCUAAGCAGCAGAAUACCUGCUGCUUGUACAUGUUGCUAAGCAGCAGAAUACCUGCUGCUUGUACAUGUUGCUAAGCAGCAGAAUACCUGCUGCUUGUACAUGUUGCUAAGCAGCAGAAUACCUGCUGCUUGUACAUGUUGCUAAGCAGCAGAAUACCUGCUGCUUGUACAUGUUGCUAAGCAGCAGAAUACCUGCUGCUUGUACAUGUUGCUAAGCAGCAGAAUACCUGCUGCUUGUACAUGUUGCUAAGCAGCAGAAUACCUGCUGCUUGUACAUGUUGCUAAGCAGCAGAAUACCUGCUGCUUGUACAUGUUGCUAAGCAGCAGAAUACCUGCUGCUUGUACAUGUUGCUAAGCAGCAGAAUACCUGCUGCUUGUACAUGUUGCUAAGCAGCAGAAUACCUGCUGCUUGUACAUGUUGCUAAGCAGCAGAAUACCUGCUUUGUUAGUUGGUUACCUCAGUUCCAUGCUCCCUGCGUGUUGUACUUGGGGAACGGGAGCCUGCCGGACUCGAUGAGGCCGACGUCGUGUUCGAGGACCUCGUAGUGGCGGCGCACCUCGUCGGCGGUCUUGCUGCCUCCCAUGGCACGGGACACCUUGUGCCAGCGGUCGGGCGUGCCCUCGCCGUAGUAGGCAAGGGCCUCCUCGAACAGCUUGUUCUCCCUGGUGCUCCACGUCGACGCCAUGUUGGCGCUGCUGCCGUUGCGGGAGGAGCUCCGGGACCCUGAAGACAUGCUCGGAUUGGACUAGUGUCAAAUUUCGUCUUUUCUCUGGAAGUGUUAAUUCUUUCUGAAUUCCAGAGGAGAUCUCUGUUGUUCUGAUAUGAUCUCUGUUCUGCUCGCAUGGCUGCUAUUUAUAGGCCGUCGGGGCGCCGGCGGCCGGCCGUCCUCGUCUUCGCAAGUGUGUGAUUGUGUGAGCUGUAGCUCGUAUGGGCUAAUAUAACAGUGUGGCACACUUGUCAUUGGCUUGCAGAUCGGAGGGUGAGUGAGAAUGGGAUUCUCCUUCUCUUUAGCAAGGACCCACAAGAAGAGAAGGAUAUAUCGUAUCUCUGUCGGUUCCAGUAUACAACUGCUUUUUUUCAAAUGUAGAUUCCGGUGGUGCACAAUCUAAAAUAGAUGCCCAGCGUGGACAAACAUAUGAAAUGUAUAAUGCUGCAUCUACAGGUAUAUGAAACCGGGACCUUUGGUUUCUUCCGUUGAUGAAUGAUCGCAAGGUCGCAACAUCUAAACAUUUAGGGAGGGUAUAAAACCUAGAAUAUCCGAUAAAUACGAGUAUAGCAGUGGUGUCGGACAAUAUAAUAUUUAUUACUUAUGUUUCAUAUUGUAGUAUGUUCUGGUUAUCACUAGAUUUAUUUUGGAUGCGCGUGUGUAUGAGAAGUUUUACGUUCCUUGAUAAAAUACAUUUGAGGUAUCAAGGAUGGUAAAAAACCUCAAAACAUAUUCAUUGAUCCAUGUAUAAAUGUAAAUAUGGCUAAAAUAUUUUAUAAUAUGGAAUGGAUACAGUAGGUACUUGCAUAUUACAUAGUGCAUAAGAGUGAAAAUUACCUUUUUAUAAAAUAGGUGCUUGUUCUAAUGAGAUUUAGUCUUUUAGUUUUAUUAACUACAUUCCACCCCUUUCAUUCAGUUGUAUCAACAUUUGUCUAUGAGGUUAUUCCCAUUCUUAAGUUUUUUGCAUAUAGAGAAAUUUUAUGUCCCUUAAAAUACAUAGAAGUAAAAAAAAAUUAGUUUAAAAUUAAGGUACCUCUGGGGAAGGGUAUAAGUAGGUCGGCCUGUGAACUGGUUUAUUGGUUAAUUAAGUGGCCCGGUUACCAACUUAACUGAUUUAUAAGAAUAUUCAUGGACGUGCCCAGUUACACCUCUACUUCUUACGUAUCUAAAGAUACCGAAAUUUUACACUACACAAUAUGAUACUUUCUGAUUUGUUUUUAAGAAUGUUAAAAAGACUCUUAUGUAUAAUGUCAUUACAUCGGAACCGCUCAUAGACCACAAAGACUGAUAGGAUAUAUCGGGUGUAUCAUGAUAUUAAGGUAUCAGAUCCAACAUCACAAAUCUCCAUCAAUCUUUUAUCCUCUGAAAUCACAAGGUAUAUAUGGUGGUGUCCAUUACUUCUACAGGGUUCCCAGCAGUGCGUGAUAGCUAGCUGGAUGCUUGGAUGUAUGCUCCAAUUUCCAUAUAGCUAGCUAACUAUAUUACUGAUAGGCAUCCAUCAAAGUACUGCAGAAGAUCUAAUCGACAGAAUGGUAAAACCAGCUGGCUUUACUCAUAGAUAUAUGCAAAGCUAUUGGCGGCAAUGGGGAUGCUGCAUGUCUGCGGCUUCUCCCUGCAUAUGAUCAGGGAGACAUUUGUUGGACCUGUAUGCUUGUGCCCCACUAGGCAUCGUGAAUUAUAUUUUGUGUGGUGCUAGAAAUGCCAUGCGUGCAAUUAAUUGUCAUCUGGGCUCAGCAUGAUGUUCCUCAUUGUGUGGUAGUGAGUAUAUGCUUCCGGCUUCCCAUCCCCAAGGAUAGAGCUAGGUUCAUGCAUCUCUUGUCAACAUAGUGUGUUAGGGUUCCAAAAAAAAACACACAGUGUUGUCAACAUAGUGUGUUAGGGUUCCAAAAAAAAAAACACACAAACACACAGUGUGUUAGUACUGGUGGAGAUAGAGUUGCAAAAAUACUUCUCUUUGUUACUAACUCUAGUUUUUUUUUGCGGUCGCUAGCUGCAUGCACUGCUAAGUUACUCAAUCUAGAUUUCUAGUUACUUAUACAUCUUAAAAGACUAAUUAAACAAGCAGCCUUCUUACUUAAUGAGUAGUUAAAUAUGUACAAAUUAUUAUUAUUAUUAUUAUUAUUAUAUGAUUUCUGGUAUUUAAUUACUAUUAUAUAAUUUCUGUUCUAACAUAUAAACAAUUUUAUGUUGUUUAGCAUAGAUUAAUAUAUGUUGAGCAGAAAGGACUUUGGUGCCGGGGAGUGAUUGGAGUGGAAUUAAUGUUAGUUGGGGGUAACAUUUGAAGAAAAUUGAAUAGAAGGUGGUUGAUAUAAAUGCUCAGAGCAGGUACAAUAGCAGGCCAUAAGCCAGGCUUAAACAUAUUUUAAGGAGAUAAGAGAGGAGAGAGAAGAGGAGUGAGCUACUAAUUUGUAGCCAGCUGCAGCACGGACUCCAAUACAUAAUGUGUUAUGACAUGUGGGGCAUGGUGAUAUAUGUUUUAUAGGUAACUAUUGUAUGAGUUGGCUAUUAGAUUGGUUAUAAAUGAAUUAGAGUUAGUAGUUGGCUAUACUAUUGAACUUGCUCUAUGAU